AUUGAACGCUGGCGGAAUGCUUUACACAUGCAAGUCGAACGGUAGAGGGGGCAACCCCUCGAGAGUGGCGAACGGGUGAGUAAUAUAUCGGAACGUGCCCAGUCGUGGGGGAUAACGUAGCGAAAGUUACGCUAAUACCGCAUACGAUCUAAGGAUGAAAGCGGGGGAUCGCAAGACCUCGCGCGAUUGGAGCGGCCGAUAUCAGAUUAGGUAGUUGGAGGGGUAAAGGCUCACCAAGCCAACGAUCUGUAGCUGGUCUGAGAGGACGACCAGCCACACUGAAACUGGGACCCGGUCCAGCCUCCGACGAGAGGCAGUAGUGGGGAAUUUUUGACAAUGGACGCAAGUCUGAUCCAGCCAUUCCGCGUGCAGGAUGAAGGCCCUCGGGUUGUAAACUGCUUUUGUACAGAACGAAAAGGUUUCUACGAAUACUAGGAGCUCAUGACGGUACUGUAAGAAUAAGCACCGGCUAACUACGUGCCAGCCGCCGCCGUAA
rnacentral:rRNA from 1 species